AUUGAACGCUGGCGGAAUGCUUUACACAUGCAAGUCGAACGGUAGAGGGGGCAACCCCUUGAGAGUGGCGAACGGGUGAGUAAUAUAUCGGAACGUGCCCAGUCGUGGGGAUAACGUAGCGAAAGCUACGCUAAUACCGCAUACGAUCUAUGGAUGAAAGCGGGGGAUCGCAAGACCUCGCGCGAUUGGAGCGGCCGAUAUCAGAUUAGGUAGUUGGUGAGGUAAAGGCUCACCAAGCCGACGAUCUGUAGCUGGUCUGAGAGGACGACCAGCCACACUGGGACUGAGACACGGCCCAGACUCCUACGGGAGGCAGCAGUGGGGAAUUUUUGGGACAAUGGGCGCAAGCCUGAUCCAGCAAUGCCGCGUGCAGGAUG
rnacentral:rRNA from 1 species